rnacentral:tRNA from 1 species
AUCUAAAUAGUUUAAAUAAGAAUGACAGUUUGUGGUAUUGUAGGUAUAAUAUAUUAUUUUAGGUC